UACGUAGGGUGCAAGCGUUACUCGGUAUUACUGGGCGUAAAGGGCGCGCAGGCGGUUAUGUAAGACAGGUGGGAAAUCCCCGGGCUCAACCUGGGAACUGCAUUUGUGACUGCAUAGCUAGAGUACGGUAGAGGGGGAUGGAAUUCCGCGUGUAGCAGUGAAAUGCGUAGAUAUGCGGAGGAACACCGAUGGCGAAGGCAAUCCCCUGGACCUGUACUGACGCUCAUGCACGAAAGCGUGGGGAGCAAACAGG
rnacentral:rRNA from 1 species